GGGACCCGUCUUGAAACACGGACCAAGGAGUCUAGCAUGUGCGCGAGUCAUUGGGACUCUUGACGAAACCUAAAGGCGCAGUGAAAGUGAAGGUCCGCCUCGCGCGGACCGAGGGAGGAUGGGCGGUCGCUACUGGCCGCCCCGCACUCCCGGGGCGUCUCGUUCUCAUCGCGAGAAGAGGCGCACCCAGAGCGUACACGCUGGGACCCGAAAGAUGGUGAACUAUGCCUGGUCAGGACGAAGUCAGGGGAAACCCUGAUGGAGGUCCGUAGCGAUUCUGACGUGCAAAUCGAUCGUCGGAACUGGGUAUAGGGGCGAAAGACUAAUCGAACCAUCUAGUAGCUGGUUCCCUCCGAAGUUUCCCUCAGGAUAGCUGGCGCUCGCUUCUUGCGAGUCUCAUUCGGUAAAGCGAAUGAUUAGAGGCAUUGGGGUCGAAACGGCCUCAACCUAUUCUCAAACUUUAAAUGGGUGAGAUCUCCGGCUUGCUUGAACUGUGAAGCCGCGAGAUAUCGGAUCAGAGUGCCAAGUGGGCCACUUUUGGUAAGCAGAACUGGCGCUGUGGGAUGAACCAAACGCCGAGUUAAAGCGCCUAAAUCGACGCUUAUGGGAUACCAUGAAAGGCGUUGGUAACUUAAGACAGCAGGACGGUGGCCAUGGAAGUCGGAAUCCGCUAAGGAGUGUGUAAA
rnacentral:rRNA from 1 species